rnacentral:lncRNA from 1 species
GUAGGCAUCUUGUGGUUAAUGGAGACAGAUGGUCUUCCCUUGAUAGAUGCUUCUGGAAAGUUAACAUUCCAGCAGUGACGGUUACAUUCCUGUCAGGCAGGACUUCAGGAAGAGAGGAACUCCGCACCGUUUGAUCAGGAUUCCCAGGUGUGACUUUGCAGGCAUUUUAUUAAUGCUUUUACGAGUUAGAAGAGUUGGGAUAAUUUGCCAUCUGGAGUUUCUCUGCCUUGCUGAUCUGAGCUCAGACCUGCCAAUUUACCAGAGAUAAUUGAUAACACCCUGUAACAGCUGAGAGGAAAAUGGAAGAAACGGAGAUACUUUUAGUGAAGCAGAAUAAACCACUGAACAGGAAAAAUGAGGAAGCUGUGAGUACCAGUGGAAGGAACGAGCCAGGAAGAGGGACUGGAACCAUCUCAGAAGCCAUGCCCCUCAGGCUGGAACUUGCCCUGUCUCCUCGCAGAUGAGCUACCUCUUGUGUUUAAGAAUUAAAGGAAGAUGAGCUAGGAAUCAAGAAAUACGCAGAACUGAUUCCUGUCACUGGCGCCACCCUGCCACUUGC